GGGUUGUGAGGUUAAGCGACUAAGCGUACACGGUGGAUGCCCUGGCAGUCAGAGGCGAUGAAGGACGUGCUAAUCUGCGAUAAGCGUCGGUAAGGUGAUAUGAACCGUUAUAACCGGCGAUUUCCGAAUGGGGAAACCCAGUGUGUUUCGACACACUAUCAUUAACUGAAUCCAUAGGUUAAUGAGGCGAACCGGGGGAACUGAAACAUCUAAGUACCCCGAGGAAAAGAAAUCAACCGAGAUUCCCCCAGUAGCGGCGAGCGAACGGGGAGCAGCCCAGAGCCUGAAUCAGUGUGUGUGUUAGUGGAAGCGUCUGGAAAGGCGCGCGAUACAGGGUGACAGCCCCGUACACAAAAAUGCACAUGCUGUGAGCUCGAUGAGUAGGGCGGGACACGUGGUAUCCUGUCUGAAUAUGGGGGGACCAUCCUCCAAGGCUAAAUACUCCUGACUGACCGAUAGUGAACCAGUACCGUGAGGGAAAGGCGAAAAGAACCCCGGCGAGGGGAGUGAAAAAGAACCUGAAACCGUGUACGUACAAGCAGUGGGAGCACGCUUAGGCGUGUGACUGCGUACCUUUUGUAUAAUGGGUCAGCGACUUAUAUUCUGUAGCAAGGUUAACCGAAUAGGGGAGCCGAAGGGAAACCGAGUCUUAACUGGGCGUUAAGUUGCAGGGUAUAGACCCGAAACCCGGUGAUCUAGCCAUGGGCAGGUUGAAGGUUGGGUAACACUAACUGGAGGACCGAACCGACUAAUGUUGAAAAAUUAGCGGAUGACUUGUGGCUGGGGGUGAAAGGCCAAUCAAACCGGGAGAUAGCUGGUUCUCCCCGAAAGCUAUUUAGGUAGCGCCUCGUGAAUUCAUCUCCGGGGGUAGAGCACUGUUUCGGCAAGGGGGUCAUCCCGACUUACCAACCCGAUGCAAACUACGAAUACCGGAGAAUGUUAUCACGGGAGACACACGGCGGGUGCUAACGUCCGUCGUGAAGAGGGAAACAACCCAGACCGCCAGCUAAGGUCCCAAAGUCAUGGUUAAGUGGGAAACGAUGUGGGAAGGCCCAGACAGCCAGGAUGUUGGCUUAGAAGCAGCCAUCAUUUAAAGAAAGCGUAAUAGCUCACUGGUCGAGUCGGCCUGCGCGGAAGAUGUAACGGGGCUAAACCAUGCACCGAAGCUGCGGCAGCGACGCUUAUGCGUUGUUGGGUAGGGGAGCGUUCUGUAAGCCUGCGAAGGUGUGCUGUGAGGCAUGCUGGAGGUAUCAGAAGUGCGAAUGCUGACAUAAGUAACGAUAAAGCGGGUGAAAAGCCCGCUCGCCGGAAGACCAAGGGUUCCUGUCCAACGUUAAUCGGGGCAGGGUGAGUCGACCCCUAAGGCGAGGCCGAAAGGCGUAGUCGAUGGGAAACAGGUUAAUAUUCCUGUACUUGGUGUUACUGCGAAGGGGGGACGGAGAAGGCUAUGUUGGCCGGGCGACGGUUGUCCCGGUUUAAGCGUGUAGGCUGGUUUUCCAGGCAAAUCCGGAAAAUCAAGGCUGAGGCGUGAUGACGAGGCACUACGGUGCUGAAGCAACAAAUGCCCUGCUUCCAGGAAAAGCCUCUAAGCAUCAGGUAACAUCAAAUCGUACCCCAAACCGACACAGGUGGUCAGGUAGAGAAUACCAAGGCGCUUGAGAGAACUCGGGUGAAGGAACUAGGCAAAAUGGUGCCGUAACUUCGGGAGAAGGCACGCUGAUAUGUAGGUGAAGUCCCUCGCGGAUGGAGCUGAAAUCAGUCGAAGAUACCAGCUGGCUGCAACUGUUUAUUAAAAACACAGCACUGUGCAAACACGAAAGUGGACGUAUACGGUGUGACGCCUGCCCGGUGCCGGAAGGUUAAUUGAUGGGGUUAGCGCAAGCGAAGCUCUUGAUCGAAGCCCCGGUAAACGGCGGCCGUAACUAUAACGGUCCUAAGGUAGCGAAAUUCCUUGUCGGGUAAGUUCCGACCUGCACGAAUGGCGUAAUGAUGGCCAGGCUGUCUCCACCCGAGACUCAGUGAAAUUGAACUCGCUGUGAAGAUGCAGUGUACCCGCGGCAAGACGGAAAGACCCCGUGAACCUUUACUAUAGCUUGACACUGAACAUUGAGCCUUGAUGUGUAGGAUAGGUGGGAGGCUUUGAAGUGUGGACGCCAGUCUGCAUGGAGCCGACCUUGAAAUACCACCCUUUAAUGUUUGAUGUUCUAACGUUGACCCGUGAUCCGGGUUGCGGACAGUGUCUGGUGGGUAGUUUGACUGGGGCGGUCUCCUCCUAAAGAGUAACGGAGGAGCACGAAGGUUGGCUAAUCCUGGUCGGACAUCAGGAGGUUAGUGCAAUGGCAUAAGCCAGCUUGACUGCGAGCGUGACGGCGCGAGCAGGUGCGAAAGCAGGUCAUAGUGAUCCGGUGGUUCUGAAUGGAAGGGCCAUCGCUCAACGGAUAAAAGGUACUCCGGGGAUAACAGGCUGAUACCGCCCAAGAGUUCAUAUCGACGGCGGUGUUUGGCACCUCGAUGUCGGCUCAUCACAUCCUGGGGCUGAAGUAGGUCCCAAGGGUAUGGCUGUUCGCCAUUUAAAGUGGUACGCGAGCUGGGUUUAGAACGUCGUGAGACAGUUCGGUCCCUAUCUGCCGUGGGCGCUGGAGAAUUGAGGGGGGCUGCUCCUAGUACGAGAGGACCGGAGUGGACGCAUCACUGGUGUUCGGGUUGUCAUGCCAAUGGCACUGCCCGGUAGCUAAAUGCGGAAGAGAUAAGUGCUGAAAGCAUCUAAGCACGAAACUUGCCCCGAGAUGAGUUCUCCCUGACUCCUUGAGAGUCCUGAAGGAACGUUGAAGACGACGACGUUGAUAGGCCGGGUGUGUAAGCGCAGCGAUGCGUUGAGCUAACCGGUACUAAUGAACCGUGAGGCUUAACCUUACAACGCCGAAGGUGUUU
rnacentral:rRNA from 1 species